rnacentral:rRNA from 1 species
AUCAUGGCUCAGGAUGAACGCUGGCGGCAUGCCUAAGACAUGCAAGUCGAACGAGACGGCCCAAUGAAUACUGAGUGCUUGCACGAUGUAGGAUUUGGAUUCCCGUCUAGUGGCGCAAGGGUGAGUAACACGUGGGUAAUCUACCUUUGAGUCUGGAAUAACAGUUAGAAAUGAUUGCUAAUGCCGGAUUAUAUAUAAGAUGAUACGUCAUCAUAUAUUAAAAAGG